AGCAGUGUUUGCAACAUCCUGGGUGCUGAUCGGGCUGCUAACCAACUUGUCUCUACAGAUUUUUACCUCUAAUAGAGCCUUUCAAAGAACAAAAGCACUUUGACUAUGGUAAGAUUACCGAAAUUCAUUUUUGGAAGGCUGAAGCUGGCUCUACGGCUCAGUCCCUGCUCCUGCUGAGCUGCCCAGGGGAUCCUGCGCACGUUCCUCGCUACCCCGAGCUCCAGCACUGCCAGAAUUUCCAUGGGCUGCCGUGAUGAUCAUCACAGACUCCUCGGAGGGUCUUCCUGCCUGGAGGGUGAGGAAGUGCUGGCUCUAUGAGGAGACUUUUCCUGCAUUGGUAGGGUCUCUCCACAGCUCUUUCACUUCAGU